rnacentral:rRNA from 1 species
GACGUAGGGUGCGAGCGUUGUCCGGAUUUACUGGGCGUAAAGAGCGCGCAGGCGGUCGAUCAAGUCGAGUGUGAAAGCCCCCGGCUCAACUGGGGAGGGGCAUUCGAUACUGAUCGACUCGAAGGCAGGAGAGGGUAGUGGAAUUCCCGGUGUAGUGGUGAAAUGCGUAGAUAUCGGGAGGAACACCAGUGGCGAAGGCGACUACCUGGCCUGUUCUUGACGCUGAGGCGCGAAAGCUAGGGGAGCAAACGGG